rnacentral:lncRNA from 1 species
GGGGAGUAGUAGUGUCUACACUUCGUAAAUGAAGAAACUGAGGCCCAUUGAGGCUGAGUAAACUGCCUGAUGCCACACAGCCCCAUGUAGUGAUGAAUAUGAGAUUCAAACUCAGAUGCUUCUGGCUCCAAAAUCUCUAUUCCUUCCACCACAACAAAACUAAGAAGAGAGAGAGGGCACCCAGUUCACUGUGGAAGAGGGAUGGUGAGAGAGAAUGCUUGUAUAUUUCCCAACUGUGAAGAGAAUGCUUUAUGAGUGUGAUAUGGAUCAAUGUUGGGCUCUGCUCCACGUCGUCACUCAGGGAGCCUGGCUUAUUCCCUUGUGUCACUCCACUAUCUUCUGGGACUUUGUUUCCCUCUGCAUUCAGCUACACAUAUGGGGAAAGUGAGAAAAUGUGGAGAAAGCAUACCCACUCUUAACUGCAUUCCCCGGAGGUGAUGCAGGUCACUUCUAUUUACAUUUCAUUGGCUGGAACUCAGUCCAGUGAUUCCUUCUAACUGCGGGGGAGGCUGGGAAAUGUAGUUUGGUGGUGGGACCAGAAGAAGCAGAGAGCUCUCUGCCACAAUGUGC